GAAAAAAAAGCAGAUUAUGCAAUGAUGGGUGUGGAUGCCCCACCGGAACUAGAAAGUAGACAAGGCAGAAGGAGAAAGACAACAACCAGCAACAAAACCAAAAA
rnacentral:lncRNA from 1 species